rnacentral:rRNA from 1 species
UACGUAGGGUGCGAGCGUUAAUCGGAAUUACUGGGCGUAAAGCGUGCGCAGGCGGUUCGCUAAGACCGAUGUGAAAUCCCCGGGCUUAACCUGGGAACUGCAUUGGUGACUGGCGGGCUAGAGUAUGGCAGAGGGGGGGUAGAAUUCCACGUGUAGCAGUGAAAUGCGUAGAGAUGUGGAGGAAUACCGAUGGCGAAGGCAGCCCCCUGGGCCAAUACUGACGCCUCAUGCACGAAAGCGUGGGGAGCAAACAGG